UACGAAGGGGGCUAGCGUUACUCGGAAUUACUGGGCGUAAAGCGUGCGUAGGUGGUUUGUUAAGUCUGUUGUGAAAGCCCCGGGCUCAACCUGGGAAUGGCAAUGGAUACUGGCAGGCUAGAGUGCGGUAGAGGGUAGUGGAAUUCCCGGUGUAGUGGUGAAAUGCGUAGAUAUCGGGAGGAACACCAGUGGCGAAGGCGACUCACUGGUCCGGUACUGACGCUGAGGUGCGAAAGCGUGGGGAGCAAACAGG
rnacentral:rRNA from 1 species